ACAUCCUCUCAUCAUCUGCUGGCUUGGUCUCAAGGUGCUUAAUAUCCUUGGCAGCUUUCUCAAACAGCCUGAGACAUACUGGCAGUUGUUGCAAGGAUUCCUGGGAGCCCACUGAGAAGGUAGUCUCGGCUGCCCUCCCACCACCUCCACCUGCCAGUGCUUGCCCGCGGGGCUACAGAGGAAGACAGCAGCCACGCCUGCAUAUGGGCUUCUGCACUGCUAGCCUCAAGGCUGCCAGAGUGCAAAGAAUGCCAGGAUAAUGGCUUUAUCCACGUGUGGCCUUUUGACACAUAAGCUAAUGACUAUAUUCCAGGU
rnacentral:lncRNA from 1 species